rnacentral:rRNA from 1 species
AUUGAACGCUGGCGGCAUGCCUUACACAUGCAAGUCGAACGGCAGCACGGGUGCUUGCCCCUGGUGGCGAGUGGCGAACGGGUGAGUAAUACAUCGGAACAUGUCCUGUAGUGGGGGAUAGCCCGGCGAAAGCCGGAUUAAUACCGCAUACGAUCUACGGAUGAAAGCGGGGGACCUUCGGGCCUCGCGCUAUAGGGUUGGCCGAUGGCUGAUUAGCUCGUUGGUGGGGUAAAGGCCUACCAAGGCGACGAUCAGUAGCUGGUCUGAGAGGACGACCAGCCACACUGGGACGGAGACACGGCCCAGACGCCUACGGGAGGCAGCAGUGGGGAAUUUUGGACAAUGGGCGAAAGCCUGAUCCAGCAAUGCCGCGUGUGUGAAGAAGGCCUUCGGGUUGUAAAGCACUUUUGUCCGGAAAGAAAUGCUUGGCCCUAAUACGGUCGGGGGAUGACGGUACCGGAAGAAUAAGCACCGGCUAACUACGUG